ensembl:snRNA U6 U6 spliceosomal RNA
GUGCUCACUUCGGCAGCACAUAUACUAAAUUGGAAUGAUACAGAGAAGAUUAGCAUGGCCCCUGUGCAAGGAUGACAAGUAAAUUUGUGCAGUGUUCUAUACUAAA